rnacentral:lncRNA from 1 species
UCAAGCGAUUCUCCUGUCUCAGCCUCCUGAGUAGCUGGGAUUACAGGCGUGUGCCACUAUGCCUGGGUAAUUUUUGUAUUUUUAGUAGAGUCAGGGGUCUCACUAUGUUGGCUAGGCUGGUUUUGAACUCCUAACCUCAACUCCUAACCUCAACCAUCAGUAGCUUUUUAGUUGUAUUAAUAAUAACAGCUGCCAUCCUUUCAUUUUACCAGAUGUUAAAAUAAAGUUUCU